rnacentral:lncRNA from 12 species
AUGCCAUCCCAAAAUCACCUCAUGCCAUCCCAAAAAUCACAUCAUUGCACCCAAAAUCAACUCAUUCCACCCCAAAUCACAUCAUUCCACCCCAAAUCAACUCAUUCCAUCCCAAAAUCACCUCAUGCCAUCCCAAAAUCACCUAAUUGCACCCCAAAAUCACAUAAUUGCACCCCAAAAUUAACUCAUUCCACCCCAAAAUCACAUCAUUCCACCCCAAAUCAACUUAUUCCACCCCAAAAUCACCUCAUGCCAUCCCAAAAUCACCUCAUGCCAUCCCAAAAAUCACAUCAUUGCACCCAAAAUCAACUCAUUCCACCCCAAAUCACAUCAUUCCACCCCAAAAUCAACUCAUUCCAUCCCAAAAUCACCUCAUGCCAUCCCAAAAUCACCUCGUUCCAUCCCAAAAAUCACAUCAUUCCACCCCAAAUCAACUCAUUCCAUCCCAAAAUCAACUCAUUCCACCCCAAAUCAACUUAUUUCACCCUAAAAUCACCUCAUGCCAUCCCAAAAUCACAUCAUUUCACCCCAAAAUCACCUCAUCCCACCCAAAAAUCACAUCAUUGCACCCCAGAAUCAACUCAUUCCAUCCCAAAUCAACUCAUUCCACCCCAAAAAUCACAUCAUUGCACCCCAAAUCAACUCAUUCCACCCCAAAAUCACAUCAUUCCACCCCAAAAUCACCUCAUCCCAUCCCAAAAUCAACUCAUUCCACCUCAAAUCAUCUCAUCCCACCCCAAAAUCACCUCAUCCCACCCAAAAAUCAACUCAUUCCACCCCAAAACUCAACUCAUUCCACCCCAAAAAUCACACCAUUGCACCCCAAAAUCACCUCAUUCCACCCCAAAUCAACUCAUUCCACCCCAAAUCCACAUCAUUCCACCCCAAAUCCACAUCAUUCCACCCCAAAAUCACCUCAUCCCACCCCAAAUCCACAUCAUUCCACCCCAAAUCCGCAUCAUUCCACCCCAAAUCCACAUCAUCCCACCCCAAAAUCACCUCAUCCCACCCCAAAAUCACCUCAUUCCACCCCAAACAAAUCCAGGAGAUUCCUACACAAAGUGGACACUGAAAUUUCAGGGAGGAUCACAUCAAGGGUUUUACAAUUCCCACACACACUUUAAAUGUUGUCCAUUUGGAAAAAAAGAAAAAAAACAAACAAAAAAAAAUAAACUAGACUGGACAUGGAUAAAGCUGCCUGAAAGUCCUUAAGGAAGGACAGCAAAGCACAAAUUGGGAAAUUUCUGUUUCCAGGACACCUUUGGCUGCAGUGCCAAUAUCCUGGGUUUUUAAAGGAUUGGUCAUGGAUGCAGCUGGACACAGCUCUGCUUCCCUGAGGAUUUUACACCUUCCAGCAGGAACACAAAAUUCAAAAACGAUCACAAAAUUCAACCAAAAGAGCUCUGCAGGUUUGUGGAUCCAUCCACUGCAGCAGCCCAAAGAAUCAUUCCCACCUGCCGGAAAAACGUGGAUUUUUUAGGAUGUGGAUAAAUAAUCCCGUGGAUCCACCAGGUGAUUCAAGCUUAAUUUUGGGUUAAUGCAGACAGACAGACUCCCUAAACCCUCAGAUUUCCAGCAGAACCUUCCCAAGUGCUCUCUGGAGACCAAAAUUUGGACAUGAAUGAUCUCCAUCACCAUCAAUCAUCAGUUUCCUGCUAAAACUAAGGUAAAAAGAACAAUUCUUCCCUCAAAAUUUGAGAUAUUAAUAAGGAACUCCUGACAAAUGCCAGAAUGCAAGAUGUAAAUAAAAAAAAAAUAAAUAAAAGCAGUUCUUGACCUACCCCAAUAAAAAAAAAAAAAAGCAGUUCUUGACCUACCCCAAAAGCCAAGAUUUUAAUAAAAAUAAUUUAUUGAAGCAACAAAAAAAUCAGAAAUUAAAAAAAAAAAAAGGCAAUUCGUGGCCUACCUCAAAAUGCAAGAAUUUAAUAAAAAUCAAUUCUUGACACACCCCAAAACUUGCAAUUUUAAUAAUGAACAAGUUUUAGCCCAAAACUGCAUUUCCUCUGCCUGAAAUGUAAUUACAGUUAAGGCCUUCUGCAGGGCCCUGGAGAUGUAAAUAUAUAGGUUAAACAUAGUUAAAAUUCCACAUCCUACUUAAUUGCAGGCAUUUUCCACGGAACAAAAUGAGCUUUUAUCAUCAGCUCUUAAUUAUUAAUAACCAUGAACAGUGCCACCACCUUUAAACAAUAACCCUGACCUGGGGAGGAGAUAUUUCAACCCAAAUUUCCACAGCGCUCCUGGGGGGAAUAAGAAGCAAUUUUUGGGAUGUUCACGUGGAUUUUGGGGUGAUUUUGAAGCAGAAGGUUUUGAGCUUCUACACUACCUGGAUAGGGAUUAAUGACUGCAAUUAGCAGGGGUUUUUUUUUGGGGUUGCCAAACGGCUGAGAGGGACCAGCAGGAUGCCUGAAAGGGAUUCCAGGGAUCUGGAAAUCCCAGGAAAAAAGGAGAGAGCGCCGACUCAGCUGAAUCAUAAUGGCUGCAUUGACAUUACCUUUCCUAAACACAGGCAGCUGCCUGGGAUUUACAGGAGAUUUACAGACAGCACUGGCCACUCUGAGACCUACAAAUCACCACAGCACACGCAGGGCCUUGGGAACAGCCCGGAUCCCCAAAAAUCCCUGAGUGCUGCGGGAUUGUUCCUACAAAAAAAAAUGAUAAAAUAAAACCUCAGAGCUUCCCCCGAGCCUGAGGGGCCUCCACGCUCCCGGAUCCCCUUUCCCUGGGUUUGAGGUUAUUAACAUCAAACAUGUGAUCGGCCACAUGACAGGCUAAAGGCUAAAAAGGAAAAAAAAAAAAAAAAUCGAGGGGAAAAAAAAAAAAAGGGGGGGGGGGGGGGGGGGGGGAAAAAAAAAAAAAAUCGGCUUGGAUGCAUGCAGAGGGGAAGGGAGAGAUGGUGGGUGAAGCUCCGUGCCCGCGGAUUGUAAUCAUUCCUGGGAAAUCGCUGCUUUUCCAGCGGGAAAAUGAUGGAAGCCAUGGCGGGAGGAGGUUUAAUAACGGGGUGAUUGUGUAACUUGGAGCCUCCCGGCCAAAGUUGAGGCACCCAGUGGAUGUUCCCGGUGCGUGGGGAUGAGGAUGGCACCGGAUCAAUUAGGGCAGCGAAAUGUGCAUCCCCCCCCCUCUCCUCUCUCCAAGCCUCCUCCUCCUCCCUCCUCCCGAUCCAGGAGUUUCUCCGCUAACGUAUUUCUCUCCUCAUUAACCGCUUCGGUGUCUUCUGCUCUUUCCAAAAUAGUACCUACUAUAACGGGGCCGCGCAGGGGGCCAGCUGGCAGCGGGGCACCCGGACACCCAGCGGGGCUUUGGGGAGGGGAAAAGACAAAAGGAGAAUUUGGGGGGGCUGCUGGGAUGAAGGAUGAAGGCCCUUCCCCCCAAAUCCUCAAGGGAACCCCGUUUUAGCCAAAGCGCGGAUUUUGGGGGUGCGAUGAGGCCCGUGCCGGGAUGGGGAUCCCCAGUCACAACAGGGAUGUCCCCCCUGCUGUCACCCCACAGAAUGGAGGGAGGGGGCUGCAGCCUCCUGGACCCCUAAAAACGCCCCAAAUCAAACGCAGAUGGCUCCUCAAACCCCCAAGUCGGCUCCUCUGCAGAGGUUUCUGAUGGAACAGGGGGUGUCCCCCCAGCUCACCCCCUCUCCCUUACGGGAGGUGUCCCACGGGGGGGGGGGGGGGGGGGGGGGGGGGGGGGGGGGGGGGGGGGGGGGGGGGG